rnacentral:misc_RNA from 1 species
AACGCACAUUGCGCCCCUUGGUAUUCCGAGGGGCAUGCCUGUUCGAGCGUCAUUAUAACCCCUCAAGCUUAGCUUGGUAUUGGGGCCUGCCAUCCUGGCAGCCCUUAAAAUCAGUGGCGGUGCCAUCCGGCUCUAAGCGUAGUAAUUCUUCUCGCUAUGGAGUCCUGGUGGAUGCUUGCCAUUAAUCUUCUAACUUCUAUGGUUGACCUCGGAUCAGGUAGGGAUACCCGCUGAACUUAA